CGCCCUCUUUUGUUUCAACUCCUAACAGCCUUUCCUCCAUCUCUUCGUUAAAAGCUUGCCCACAUAGCGUCGCUCGCGUUGCCGUUGCUCCAGCGGCCCGUUCUCGUCGUCGACCUCCGCCCCCCCCCACCCCCACCGCCACCACCGUCCCCAUACGGCAGACCUCUCCUCCACAACGCCCCGCACAGGCAAGGGGAUUCUCCAACCCACACCCACGUCCACACCCCUGUCUUCUCUCUCUUCGCCCUCUCCUCUCCAACCACCUCAGCAACGAUGAUCCACCCGUAUCUGUGGAUCGCCGUCGUGGGCGGCUUCGUGGGCUUCCUCGUGGCGUGCGGCAACGGCGCCAACGACCUCGCCAACGCCUUCGGCACCAGCUACGGCUCGCGCGUUCUCACGAUGCUGCAGAUCGUCGUCAUCGCCGCCGUCUGUGAGUUCUCCGGGGCCGUCGGGCUCGGUAGCGAAGUGGCUACCACCAUGUCGAGCGGCAUCGCCAAGCUGUCCACCUUCGAGGACGACCCCUACGUGCUCAUGUACGGAUUUCUCUGCACGCUCGGCGCGACUUUCAUCUGGCUCCUGGUCGCCACGCUCGCCAACCUGCCCGUGUCGUCGCACCACGCCGUCGCCGGCGGCAUCAUCGGCUUCGCGCUGGUGUACGGCGGCGGCGACGCGGUUGUGUGGGCCGGCCGCAAGCAAGCCUUCCCCUACGUCUCCGGCUUCGUGCCCAUUGUCGUCUCGUGGUUCAUCUCGCCCCUGCUGGCCGGCCUCGCCGCCGCCGUCUUAUACAGCAUGGCCCGCUUCCUGAUCCUCGAGCGCACCUUCGCCGUCCGCCUCGCGCCCUACCUCAUGCCCGUCAUCGUGCUCAUCGUCUUCUUCCUCGAGUUCAUCUUCAUCUUCCUCAACGCUGCGAGUAACCGACUGUCGUGGUCGUCCGGGCACGCCGCUUGGAUGGCGAUCGCCGUGGCCGCCAGCGUGGCGGUGCUGUCGCUGGGGCUGAUCCCUGUGAUGAAGCGCCGCAUCGAGUCCAUUCGCGUCUCUGGUGAGAAGUGCGGCGCGGAGGAGGGCUGCGAUGCCGUGGAGGCGAUGCGUAUGAAGAUGAUGGGUGCGCGCGUGUCGAGCAUCCGCACCUUCCAGACAAGGAGGCAGGCGGGCGAGUACCUCAUGGCGGAGAAGCAGCGCCGCAAGGAGCGCGAGGCGCCGGCCAACGUUGUGAAGACCGAGCCCACCGAAGAGGGCAGCAACGAGGCUGAGGACGCACGCGCAGCGAAGAAGCUUGGUCUUGCGUCACGUCUGGUGUACGGCGCCGUCGUGCGCGACGAAUCCUCGGAUGUGGAUAGCCCCUUCGACGAGAACGCCAACGGCGCGCAGGGCGGUAGCGACGAGGUCGAUGCGGUCCACGUGACCGCGAUUGAUCCGAAAUUCAACUACCUGAAGUACGACGAGAGCGGCGUGCGCAUGUUCGACCCGCGCGCCGAGUACAUGUUCCGCAUGCUGCAGGUCGUCACUGCCGCCUGCACGUCGCUGGCGCACGGCUCCAACGAUGUCAGCAACGCCAUCGGCCCCUACGCUGCCAUCUACCAGGUGUAUAGAACCGGCAACGUGGCGAGCGCGGCGAACGUUGAGGUGUGGCUGUUGUGUCUCGGCGGUGCUGGCAUCGUGGUCGGGCUGGCCACCUUCGGGCUGCCCAUCAUGCGGUUGCUGGGCGAGAAACUGGCGGUGCUGACGCCGGUGCGCGGCUGCGCAGCUGAGGUGGCUACGGCGCUCGUCGUGUCGCUGGCGUCCACCUACGGCAUCCCUGUAUCAUCCACGCACUGCAUCACUGGCGCCGUGUUGGCCAUCUCCAUGGUCGACGUCGGCUUCCGCCGUGUGCGUUGGGCUCUGGUGCUGAAGAUGUACGUCGGCUGGGUCUUCACGCUGAUCGUCACCGCCAUCAUUUCCGCCUGCUUCUUCGCGCAGGGCAUCACCGCACCGGUGCCGCGUGGCAGCCGCUAAUGUGGCGCGCAAAGACGCUUGGCCAGCGCACCCCUCCGCACGCGCACGCACACACACCUGUUCGCUGCGAGACGCUUCGCUGUCGUUGCCGCUGCUGCCACUAGCAGUAUCAAAUAACGGCCUGGUCGCAUCGGUGUCCGUGCGUGCGUGCCAGUGAGGGGGGCACGUUCCGCGGGCAGCGAGGCGGAGGAGAGGGCAUGGGAAGGCGGUGUGAGGAAGACGGUGUCUUGUGUCGAAGAAGCGCCUACCCUCCCGCCGCCGCCCCUCUCCCCGCGCCCUCGUCACCCGCGUUGGCGCUGUGCUCUCCUCCGGACAAGCAAUGGAUCUCUCCUUCCGCUGCUGUUUUCCCCGCCGUGUUGCCGUCUUGUGUGUGUGUGCGCCACCACACACACACACACACACACACACACAAGUGCUUCACGGUUUCCUUUGUAUUGUUCGCUUUUUUGGUCGCGUGAUUCCUCCGUGGAUGCGUCAGCGUUGCCUUCUCCUUGACCACUGGCACACGUGUGUGUGUGUGCGUGCGUGUGCGUGUGCGUGCGUGUGCGUGUGCGUGUGUGGGAGGGAAGUGGGUGCGUUACUCUCACGCUAAACCUCUUUUUCUGUUUUGAUUUCGUCGCUCUUCGUGCCUGUUCUUUUCUGUUGCGGAUCUACCUAAAUCGCGGUCCUUGUCUCUGUCUCUGUCUGUUACCCCCAUCAACCCUGUAGACGAUGCGCGCGCCAUCCUUAAGAGCACUGCACACCCGCGGCUGCAUGUGACUCUCGAACGCGUCGUCCGUGCAGCAAUCACAUUACCCGGGCCCCCUUCCCCUUCUUCUCCGCUGUCGCGCGCGCGCGUGCCUACAUAUACGCAUGCACAACCCUCUCCUCUCCUGCCUCGCCACCCCCCCCCUCCUGCUCCUCCUCCUCCCCACCACUUGCACGACGGCUUCCCCAUCCAGUUUUCUCACGGGCGACUGGGCCCUCGUCACGCCUUCCUGAAACACGGUGAGAGACGUACUGGUAGAAUACCAGCCACCCCCCCCCUCCCACCUUAUCCUGUGGCGUGCGCACGUGUUUGUGUGUGUGUGUGUGUGGGGGGGGGGGGGGGGGGGGUAGAUGUGUCCUGGAAAGAGAGGUUGAAGGGUGCUCGACAGAGCUUGACCCCGUGUGCUGGGCAAGGCAACGUAACCCUUUAACAGAACGGGUCAGUGCACACGCUCGGGUGCAUGUGUGCGUGUGCGUGUGUGCGUGUGCGCGUGUGCGUGUGCGUGUGUGCGUGUGUCCGUCUCUCUCUCUCUCUUGUUUACUUUGUUUGUUUGGUACGUUCUCUGCCCGCUGUCUGUGCAGCGGUGUCUGUGUCCAUCGAUUUCGUCCUCCUCCUCCUCGCCGACGAAGAGGAUGUGUUGCGCCGACGGUCGUGUCGCUGCUGCCCGUCUCUUCCUGAGUUCUUCGUCUUGUCUGUGUGCAUCGAUCAGCGCGCUGCACUCGCCUCAUGCCCCCUCUCUCGCCACCCUCCACCGAGCACACGCACACGCACACCGCUCCUCUUCCCUGUGCUUGUCGUCGCUGCGCGAACGCGAGAGGAUGCUGUGCAUGAUGUUGUCAGCACUGAUAUGGGCGUUGGUGAAUACGGGGUGGGAUGAGGGUGUGUACGUGUAUGUGUGUGUGUGUGUGCCUCGCAUGCGUAAUGGUGAUGAUGCGAGGCACACACACACAGGCGCCGAGGCGUAUUUAUAUUUACAUUUACAUACAUAGAGAGAGAAAGGACGAUCGUGUGUGUGCUGUUCGGCUCGUCCCUGUCCACUGUUGCUGCUGAGAUCGCCGACCAGCAAAACGCGAUCGAAGGGCAUGUCCCUCCCUCCCGCCCUCUCUUGUCGUUUUGUUUUUAUUAGUGUGCUGAAGCGCGCUUUCCUCGGCGACGAUCGAGCGAGACGCUACAAGAAGCGGAGUAAGAGAAUGGAGCAUCCGCUGUGGUGUGGCAGCGCCACACCCCAUCCCUCUUUCCCCCUCCCACACACGCGCACACCAUUCCUCCUCCUGGCUUUGUCUGCUGCUAAGGUAUAACGAGGAGCGUGAAAAAAAGGGGGCCAUGCGUGAGGGGGAGAGAGAGAGGGGGGUGCUCGCUAUCGGCUCUCUCGCACUCCCUCACACUGCGUCUGCGGUCGGGCGUGCGGGUCUGUGGGUGUGUGGGUGUGUGUAUAAGCGGUCGGUACGCAUGGCUGCCUCCGCGACCAUGUGCCCACCACCCCCACCCCCACCAACACCCUCUCCCUCUUUCUCUGAAACGCUUUUUUUCUGAUGCGUGUUGUUCGACUUGCCUUCUCGUUGUGGCGUCGCCUCCGCGAAGCGAGGGACGUCUCUCCCUCACCGCCUCAUGCUCUAGUGAGCACAACAGCGUCCGCGACACGAUGCGACGAGCGCUCAACAGUGCCACCGCCCACAUUUGAAAGGUCUUCCGUAACGCCGGAAAAAAAAAAACACGAAGAAC
rnacentral:misc_RNA from 1 species